UUGAAAUUUUAAAGGCUGCAGUAUUUUAACUGUACAAAGGUAGCAUAAUCAAUAGUUUUUUAAUUGAAAACUUGUAUGAAUGGUUGAAUGAGAAAUUAACUUUUUUAUUUAAAAUAUUGAAUUUUACUUUUUAAUUAAAAGGUUAAAAUUUUUUUUAAAGACGAGAAGACCCUAUAGAGUUUUAUAAUUAAUUAUUUAAUUUUAAUAAAGUUUAUUAAUAGUUUUAUUUAAUAAAUUAUUUUAUUGGGGUGAUAGUAUAAUUUAAUUAACUUAUAUUUAUUUUUACAUUAAUAUAUGUAUAAUUGAUCCAAUAGUAUUGAUUAAAAAUUUAAAUUACCUUAGGGAUAACAGCGUAAUUUUUUUUUAAGUUCAUAUUAAUAAAAAAUUUUGCGACCUCGAUGUUGGAUUAAGAUUUAAUUUUAGGUGCAGCAGUUUAAAAUUUAAGUCUGUUCGACUUUUAAUUCUU
rnacentral:rRNA from 1 species